rnacentral:rRNA from 1 species
CCUACGGGAGGCAGCAGUGAGGAAUAUUGGUCAAUGGACGAGAGUCUGAACCAGCCAAGUAGCGUGAAGGAUGACUGCCCUAUGGGUUGUAAACUUCUUUUAUAUGGGAAUAAACUGUUCCACGUGUGGGAUUUUGUAUGUACCAUAUGAAUAAGGAUCGGCUAACUCCGUGCCAGCAGCCGCGGUAAUACGGAGGAUCCGAGCGUUAUCCGGAUUUAUUGGGUUUAAAGGGAGCGUAGGUGGUGUGUUAAGUCAGUUGUGAAAGUUUGCGGCUCAACCUUAAAAUUGCAGUUGAAACUGGCAGUCUUGAGUACAGUAGAGGUGGGCGGAAUUCGUGGUGUAGCGGUGAAAUGCUUAGAUAUCACGAAGAACUCCGAUUGCGAAGGCAGUUCACUGGACUGCAACUGACACUGAGGCUCGAAAGUGUGGGUAUCAAACAGGAUUAGAUACCCGGGUAGUC